GCCGCGUUCAGCCCGCGCGCGCAGCCGCACCCGCCGCUGCCCUCGCCCGCCGUCGUCGCGCUCGUCUUGCACAACAGGGAGGCAGACAUUCCUGUGCCGUUGGAGUCGGAGCUGUGUGCGGAAAUAUUGAAGAGCUUAGAAGACGCGCCCGACUGCGACGACAGACGAGAUGGCGUGGAGCGGUACCGAGGUGGAGGCAGCGAGGCGACGAGCGAGACGAGCGGCUCCGACACGCCCGAGGACGAGGACGCGCGCGCGCCGCCGCCCGCCGCCACGCCCGACUCCGCGCUCUGCAGGUACUACUGACAACGUAUAC
rnacentral:lncRNA from 1 species